rnacentral:rRNA from 1 species
UUACGCUGUUAUCCCUAAGGUAAUUUAGUCUUAUAAUCAUUAAAAAUGGAUCAAAAACUUAUAAAUAAAUAUAAAAAAAAAUAAAAAGAGUUAUAUUAAUCUUCCCAUCACCCCAACAAAAUUUAAAUAAUAUUAAAAUUAUUACCCCACAAAAAAUAAAAAAUUAAAUUAAACUCUAUAGGGUCUUCUCGUCCCAAAAAAUUAUUUAGGCAUUUUAACCUAAAAUUUAAAUUCAACAAAAUAAAAAUUUAAGAAAGUAUAUACCUCGUCAAACCAUUCAUUCCAGCAUUCAAUUAAAAAACUAAUGAUUAUGCUACCUUUGCACAGUCAAAAUACUGCGGCCAUUUAAAAAUCAGUGGGCAGGCAAUACUUCAAAUAAAUUACAAGAAGAGAUGUUUUUGUUAAACAGGAG